CCACAGCCUUCCUGUGUUAGACUUUUCUGGACAUCCUUCUGAAGCUGAACCUCUCUGCCAAAGCCAGAAACCAGAGAUACAAUCAAUAAGAUACUACAGCUAGCUGCUUGUAUCGAAGAAGUCUGCAGCAAAAUAAAUAAUUUCAGUUCUUUGCUUCUGGCCAGUUUGUGGAAACAGCAGCAGGAGGGCUGUAUUGCCCUCAAAGGUCUGGCUGGUCUUGAUGGGGGCCUGAUCCCUGCUAGAGAAAAGGACAUUGUAUAGUGAAAUUCCCUCUGCUGCACACAGAGGUGACAAAGGUAACACUUAAUUAUCUUUCUUCUCAUCUAUUGACACUAG
rnacentral:lncRNA from 1 species